AGAUGAUCUACCGCCGCCGAUGAGCUUCAUUUGGAUAUCUUUUUUUUUUUUGGUUUGACAUUUCUUUGAAAUUUGCAAUUUUGUUUGCUAUUUGGGUUGUAGCCAUGUUGCAUGACUGAAUUUUAGCACUCUUGGCUGUUGACAUUACUUAUAUUGUGUUCUCAUCAUUCUUUUCAUCUUCCCGUUUUUAUUUAUAAAAUCUUUUGUUCUUGACAGGGUCUUUUGUUUUCAAUUUUGUUGGUUUCUCAUGUGAUAGCAUUACAAUUACUUAGAGGUAAAAGAAGAGUAAUUGAAAAGAUGAGAUAUUGGGAAGGAGCAAAAAUCUAUUCAUUUGCCGGAGAAAUUACAUUGCAGCUGUAUUGCAGGUAUCCAGAACUUAAUUUAAGUUUUAAUAACAUAUUUAUCCUUUACUAUGUGUUUCUCAUAUUUAAUUUUGGUCAUGUGCUGUUAUUGUUUUAUAACAGUUGUGUUCAUAUCGAAAUAAAGCUUUAUUUCUUGAUAGGGAGCCUUAAAACUACCGAUCUAUUUAGAUUUUUCAGAGUAGACUUUAACAUUGCUCUAAAAAUAGCGAGGACAAAUUUAACGUUUUCGAAUAGUCCAAAUUUGGACUACACUGAAUAAUUUGGUAUUGACAACGGUUGGAGAAAACAAUAGCAGUUGCUCUGCCCGCUUCUUUUUUAUAACGUGCGCACCAGUGUUAGUCUCAACCUCCGCACACUAGACCUUUAUAUUUCCCUCAUCUCUCUAAAUGUUCACUGAUGAAAUUCUUAUACCAUGUCAGAAUAACACGCAGAUAGACUUAUAUUAAAUAGGUGCUGAUCGUGAAAGGAGAUUUAAAAAGGGUCUGAUGGACUGAGAUUUUUACAGUGGACACAUAUUCCAUCUCUUUUGUUAACUUUCUUAAAGGAUUCUACACAUACAUCUAUUCGAUUCAACCAAAACAAAGAUUGGGAUUAUGAUCCUUUACUGUUCGAUGGGCGUAUUGAUUUACUGAUUUGUUUAGUUUACACAUGAAUACUUUUAAGGCUGUAUGGAUGAAUUUAAUAUUUUUUGUCUGUUGAUAUGUCGUAUAACGAGCAAGAUGAUUUCAAGGUGAUACGAAAAUUAAGAGAGGAGAAUACAACGGCCUAUAUCAGGGAAUACACUUUAGUAAUGAUGAAAAAUGCAUCAUAAAAUCCUUAGGCCAGUGAGAAGAGAAAGACUAUAUGAGGACGUACAGUGAGCAAUCUCAAGCCUUCUGAGCAUGUCUGCACUCUGCUCUAAAGAGCCACAAAGAGCCUAUGUAGAAAGUCCCAAACUUGUAAUGUAUGAAUUGGUUCAAGGGAUUAGAUUAGAGUCAAGUGGUUGUUCUUGAUAUUACAUAUGGGUAAGAGGGAUGCUAUGCAUGUAGUAGAGAUAGACAGUAUCCACUAUUACAUGGAGCUUCCUAAAGGAAUUAAAAUUUGAAGUUUUACUACAUACACCAGCAGGAAGAGGAUCAUGAUAUAAAAACAAUAGAUUAAAAUUCCAAGCCAGUUCCGAAAGGGAAAUCAUCAAUAAUGCAAGUCCAAAUUAAGAGAAGUAAAACAAAGGUCAG